GGGGAAUAUUGGACAAUGGGCGCAAGCCUGAUCCAGCCAUGCCGCGUGAGUGACGAAGGCCUUAGGGUUGUAAAGCUCUUUUGGCGGGGAAGAUAAUGACGGUACCCGCAGAAUAAGCUCCGGCUAACUUCGUGCCAGCAGCCGCGGUAAUACGAAGGGAGCUAGCGUUGUUCGGAAUCACUGGGCGUAAAGCGCACGUAGGCGGAUGUGUCAGUCAGGGGUGAAAUCCCGGAGCUCAACUUCGGAGCUGCCCUUGAUACAGCACGUCUUGAGUCCGAGAGAGGUGAGUGGAAUUCCUAGUGUAGAGGUGAAAUUCGUAGAUAUUAGGAAGAACACCGGUGGCGAAGGCGGCUCACUGGCUCGGUACUGACGCUGAGGUGCGAAAGCGUGGGGAGCAAAC
rnacentral:rRNA from 1 species